AGAGUGAACGCUGGCGGCGUGCUUAACACAUGCAAGUCGAGCGAUUUUCAGCAGCUUAUCGCUGAGAGUAGCGGCAGACGGGUGAGUAAUACUUAGGCAAUCUGCCCUUGAGAGGAAACAACCUGCUGAAAAGUGGGCUAAUGUUCCAUAUGACCACGGAGUCGCAUGAUUCUGAGGUAAAAGCUCCGCAAGGGGCGCUCGAGGAGGAGCCUGAGGCCUAUCAUGGUAGUUGGCGGGGUAAUGGCCCACAAGCCUACGACGGGUAGCCGGCCUGAAAGGGUGAGUCGGCCACACUGGCAGUGAGACACGGGCCAGACUCCGUACGGGAGCAGCGAGGUGGGAAUUUGGACGAAGUGGGGGCAACCCGUGACUCCGAGCGACGCCGGCGUAGAAGGA
rnacentral:rRNA from 1 species